UACGUAGGGGGCAAGCGUUGUCCGGAAUUAUUGGGCGUAAAGAGCGUGUAGGCGGCCAGAUAAGUCCGCUGUGAAAUCUCGAGGCUCAACUUCGAGCUGUCGGUGGAAACUAUCUGGCUAGAGUCCGGAAGAGGAGAAUGGAAUUCCUGGUGUAGCGGUGAAAUGCGCAGAUAUCAGGAAGAACACCCGUGGCGAAGGCGGUUCUCUGGAACGGUACUGACGCUGAGACGCGAAAGCGUGGGGAGCGAACAGG
rnacentral:rRNA from 1 species